AGAGUUUGAUCCUGGCUCAGGACGAACGCUGGCGGCGCGCCUAACACAUGCAAGUCGAACGGAGCUUAAAGAGCUUGCUUUUUAAGCUUAGUGGCGAACGGGUGAGUAACGCGUGAGUAACCUGCCCUGGAGUGGGGGACAACAGUUGGAAACGACUGCUAAUACCGCAUAAGCCCACGGAUCCGCAUGGAUCUGCGGGAAAAGGAUUUAUUCGCUUCAGGAUGGACUCGCGUCCAAUUAGCUAGUUGGUGAGGUAACGGCCCACCAAGGCGACGAUUGGUAGCCGGACUGAGAGGUUGAACGGCCACAUUGGGACUGAGACACGGCCCAGACUCCUACGGGAGGCAGCAGUGGGGGAUAUUGCACAAUGGGGGAAACCCUGAUGCAGCGACGCCGCGUGGAGGAAGAAGGUUUUCGGAUUGUAAACUCCUGUCGUUAGGGACGAUAAUGACGGUACCUAACAAGAAAGCACCGGCUAACUACGUGCCAGCAGCCGCGGUAAAACGUAGGGUGCAAGCGUUGUCCGGAAUUACUGGGUGUAAAGGGAGCGCAGGCGGACCGGCAAGUUGGAAGUGAAAACUAUGGGCUCAACCCAUAAAUUGCUUUCAAAACUGCUGGCCUUGAGUAGUGCAGAGGUAGGUGGAAUUCCCGGUGUAGCGGUGGAAUGCGUAGAUAUCGGGAGGAACACCAGUGGCGAAGGCGACCUACUGGGCACCAACUGACGCUGAGGCUCGAAAGCAUGGGUAGCAAACAGGAUUAGAUACCCUGGUAGUCCAUGCCGUAAACGAUGAUUACUAGGUGUUGGAGGAUUGACCCCUUCAGUGCCGCAGUUAACACAAUAAGUAAUCCACCUGGGGAGUACGACCGCAAGGUUGAAACUCAAAGGAAU
rnacentral:rRNA from 1 species